UCCAUUGAAUUCAAUAUCAGUGAGUUUCUCAAAUGUUGGAUGUUUUGCUAGCAGUGAUUUCUUUGUUCUAAUUCCUUUUACUUUAUACCAAUGUUUUUAUUCUCAAAGUUUAAUUUAUCUAUUUCAUUAUGGUGUUUUCUCAUAGGAUGCAAGCUCUAGUUGAGGACUACAUUUUCAGUGGAGGCAUUUUCUCUGUGCCGGUAUUUCAAUAUACUAAUGAGGAAAAAAGCUCUCAAGCGAGCUAUCUUCUUUGUAUAUUUCAAACCAAGUUCAAAUGGACCCUUUGAUCGUCAAGCUUCUUGAGGAUGAUGAGGUUAACAACAUUCUUCUAAGAUUUACCUUUUGCUAUAUUUAUUGAAGGAUGAGACCAUACAUUCUAGAAAGGAUGUGGAGGCAUUAACAGCUGCCUUAAAUAGAGAUAUUGGAGGACACGUCUAUUUUUCAGCCUGUUGAUCUAGAUGCUAGAUGCAAGCUCUGGUUGAGGACUACAUUUUCAAUGGAGGCAUUUUCUCUAUGUCGGUAUUUCAGUAUACUAAUGAGGAAAAAAGCUCUCAAGGUACUCUCUCUCAGAAGAGCACUUUGUUUGGAUGAUCAAGAUUCACAUUAGAUUGGGUAUAGAUAAAACUUAUGUGAAUACUUGGUUGUGCAUGUACAGCUAUUC